CCUGAACGCUGGCGGCGUGGCUAAGACAUGCAAGUCGUACGGUGUAGCAAUACACAGUGGCGAACGGGAGAGUAAUGAAUCGCUAAUGUGCCCCGGACUCUGGGAUAGCUAGUCGAAAGAUUAGGUAAUACCAGAUGACAUAUCUUUAUCGCAUGAUAGAGAUCUCAAAGGUCCGCCGGUCUGGGAGCAGGCGAUUUCGUAUCAGCUAGUUGGUGAGGUAACGGCUCACCAAGGCGACGACGCGUAGCCGGACUGAGAGGCUGGCCGGCCUCAUUGGGACUGAGACACUGCCCAGACUCCUACGGGGGGCUGCAGUAACGAAUCUUCCGCAAUGCACGAAAGUGUGACGGAGCGACGCCGCGUGUGGGACGAAGUCCUUCGGGAUGUAAACCACUGUCAGGGGUUACCAAGUUCUGAGGAGCCCCAGAGGAAGGGACGGCUAACUCUGUGCCAGCAGCCGCGGUAAUACAGAGGUCCCGAGCGUUAGGCGGAAUCACUGGGCUUAAAGCGUGUGUAGGCGGAUGCCUAAGUACCUUGUGAAAUCCCACGGCUUAACCGUGGAACUGCUUGGUAUACUGGGUGUCUUGAGCCACUUAGGGGCUACCGGAACAAAUGGUGGAGCGGUGAAAUGCGUAGAUAUCAUUUGGAACGCCAAUGGUGAAAACAGGUAGCUGGGAGUGUGCUGACGCUGAGACACGAAAGCCAGGGGAGCGAACGGGAUUAGAUACCCCGGUAGUCCUGGCCGUAAACGAUGUCGACUAGAUCGUGGUGGCUCUGACGCCUUCAUGGUCGAAGCAAAAGUGCUAAGUCGACCGCCUGGGAAGUACGGUCGCAAGGCUA
rnacentral:rRNA from 1 species